GAUGAACGCUGGCGGCGUGCCUAAUACAUGCAAGUCGAGCGAACAGAUGAGGAGCUUGCUCCUCUGACGUUAGCGGCGGACGGGUGAGUAACACGUGGAUAACCUACCUAUAAGACUGGGAUAACUUCGGGAAACCGGAGCUAAUACCGGAUAAUAUAUUGAACCGCAUGGUUCAAUAGUGGAAGACGGUUUUGCUGUCACUUAUAGAUGGAUCCGCGCCGCAUUAGCUAGUUGGUAAGGUAACGGCUUACCAAGGCAACGAUGCGUAGCCGACCUGAGAGGGUGAUCGGCCACACUGGAACUGAGACACGGUCCAGACUCCUACGGGAGGCAGCAGUAGGGAAUCUUCCGCAAUGGGCGAAAGCCUGACGGAGCAACGCCGCGUGAGUGAUGAAGGUCUUCGGAUCGUAAAACUCUGUUAUUAGGGAAGAACAAUUGUGUAAGUAACUAUGCACGUCUUGACGGUACCUAAUCAGAAAGCCACGGCUAACUACGUG
rnacentral:rRNA from 1 species